UGGGGAAUAUUGCGCAAUGGGCGAAAGCCUGACGCAGCGACGCCGCGUGGGUGAUGAAGGCCUUCGGGUCGUAAAGCCCUGUCGGGAGGGACGAAACCUCGGUGACCUAAUACGUCACCGACCUGACGGUACCUCUUAAGGAAGCACCGGCUAACUCCGUGCCAGCAGCCGCGGUAAUACGGAGGGUGCGAGCGUUGUUCGGAGUUACUGGGCGUAAAGAGUGCGUAGGCGGUUUUCUAAGUUCGGUGUGAAAUCUCCCGGCUUAACUGGGAGGGUGCGCCGAAGACUGGGAAGCUGGAGUGUGGGAAAGGCAGGCGGAAUUCCUGGUGUAGCGGUGAAAUGCGUAGAUAUCAGGAGGAACACCGGCGGUGUAGACGGCUUGCUAGACCAUAACUGACGCUGAGGCACGAAAGCGUGGGUAGCAAACA
rnacentral:rRNA from 1 species